AAAACUUUCAACAACGGAUCUCUUGGUUCUGGCAUCGAUGAAGAACGCAGCGAAAUGCGAUAAGUAAUGUGAAUUGCAGAAUUCAGUGAAUCAUCGAAUCUUUGAACGCACAUUGCGCCCAUUUAGUAUUCUAGUGGGCAUGCCUGUUCGAGCGUCAUUU
rnacentral:rRNA from 1 species